CAUUUUUCUGCACUUUUUUAAUCUGUUUAAUAAUCGAAAGUUCGAGAAUGCCAAAAAGGCAAUCAUAAUGUUGAUGUUUCUAUUCUUUUAAAUAUUAUACUCUCACGUUGUCACGACGCAGGAGCAUUUUUAACAUGGAGAGAUUACAAAUUUUCUAUCAAUAAGAAAGCAGCAAAAAAUAGCUCAACACAAGAGAGGAACUGGAGGAGGCCCGGAAAUUAAAGAAGUUUUGACACCAUUAGAGGAGCGAGUUCAUUCACUUUUCGGCAGCGUUAUGUCACAUGGAAAUGAUGAAGUUCCUUAAUCCGCAGUUGAUUUUGAAUGCAGUGAAGAUGUUGCUCAUUAAAAUAUAUCAGAAGGAAACAUUUCACUUCAACACAUCAUAACGAGAUUAUAGCGAAAGUUUCAAAUGAUUCUAAAAGGAAACAAAAGCCUAAGGCUGUAGCACAUAUAGCUCAUAGGCUUAUUCAAAUUCAUAAUAACACUGCUCAACAUCAGUUGCAGAUAGCUGAGUGUAAAGAAAAAGACAUUAAACUACAGAUACUACAGAUUGAACUACAGAUUGAGCUGCAUAAACAAAAGCUGCAGUUUCAUGCAAUAAAAGCAGCUGCUGCAGAAAAAAGAGCAGUAGCAACUGAAAAACUAGCUUUGGCAGCUGAAAGUCUAAAAAAAGUGGCUGCAGAAAAAGUGUGCGUUGACGAAAAAAAAAUUUCCAGUUAAAAAAUAAAAAAGUUAAAACUGAUAA